GGCCUGACCCAGCCCAAUAGAAAACAAGAACCAAAGAACAACUAAAAGCUCGAUAUUUACAAAUCAGGCAGAAGUGUCUAGAAACUGUAAUUGGAAAGUUGACCCUUCAACUUUAUCUUCAUCAUCUCACUCAAAUGCAGCUUUCUCAAAAUCUCCAUGCCUUCUAAUGAUGAAAUGCUCUGAAGAAAGCCGAGCUCAAAUUGAGCUAAUACCAGUGAAAAAAAAAAGCAAGGAAAAUAGUAAGUUAUAUCCUGAGAAGUACCCUUCAUGCUUACACUCCAACAGAUUGAGCUCAAAAUUGAGCUGAUCACUAUUUAAAGUACAAGGAUAGCAGGUUCAAAUGCACGGGCUCCUGACCGUACUUAUCAGUCCAGACUAUUAGCAACAGAUUUAGUGGUGAGUCCUCAUAGUUCGAGGAUAGAGUUAUCAUUUCAGUAUUUCAUUUGUGUAGUAUAUUCAGUAGUCGGAGUUAGUUGGGGACUUGUCCCAUCAACUCCAUGUUCAGACAGUUGAGUCUUUCAGGCUAGACUAUUUCAGAAAGAUGUUCAGUUUUCAGUAUUUAUUUAUCAGUAUUUGAUUUCAGUUA